UACAGAGGUCUCAAGCGUUGUUCGGAAUUACUGGGCGUAAAGGGCGCGUAGGCGGCCUUGUCAGUCAGACGUGAAAUCCCCAGGCUUAACCUGGGAACUGCGUCUGAUACUACAAGGCUGGAGUUCGGGAGAGGAAUGUGGAAUUCCAGGUGUAGCGGUGAAAUGCGUAGAUAUCUGGAGGAACACCGGUGGCGAAGGCGGCAUUCUGGACCGAAACUGACGCUGAUGCGCGGAAGCCAGGGGAGCAAACGGG
rnacentral:rRNA from 1 species